GACGAACGCUGGCGGCAUGCCUAAUACAUGCAAGUCGAGCGGAGUUGAUGGAAAGCUUGCUUUCCUGAUACUUAGCGGCGGACGGGUGAGUAACACGUAGGCAGCCUGCCCUCAAGCUUGGGACAACUACCGGAAACGGUAGCUAAUACCGAAUACUUGUUUUCUUCGCCUGAAGAGAACUGGAAAGACGGAGCAAUCUGUCACUUGGGGAUGGGCCUGCGGCGCAUUAGCUAGUUGGUGAGGUAACGGCUCACCAAGGCGACGAUGCGUAGCCGACCUGAGAGGGUGAUCGGCCACACUGGGACUGAGACACGGCCCAGACUCCUACGGGAGUCAGCAGUAGGGAAUCUUCCGCAAUGGGCGAAAGCCUGACGGAGCAAUGCCGCGUGAGUGAUGAAGGUUUUCGGAUCGUAAAGCUCUGUUGCCAGGGAAGAACGCUUGGGAGAGUAACUGCUCCCAAGGUGACGGUACCUGAGAAGAAGGCCCCGGCUAACUACGUGCCAGCAGCCGCCGUAA
rnacentral:rRNA from 1 species